ACGUACUUCAGCAUUUCACCAUCCAAAGACGAAAGAAGAUCCUUGAACAUGGAAGUGAUCGUUGAAGGGAUCAUCCCUUGUUCAGUCACAAGUUUCAAGGCUGCUUUGAACUCCUCAUAAGCCCCAUUCGUGCAGAGUGUGUCUAGGCUGCUCCUUGCAUAACGGCUCACAGUGUCUAAUGCAGCCAAAGUCUCUACUGAUGGUCCUCUGGCUGAAGUGGACUUCAAUAGAUCCUCUGCAGCAGAAAGUCUUCUCAGAGUUCGAUCAACUGCUGGAGAAGCAGGGCCAUCCAGGUCAUCAUUUUGCAUUUCAAUUUCUCUGCUUGCUGUCUCAUGGCCAACAUUAGACGCCAUGGACUCUAAGGUUACUUGGGCAGCCUGCAUCAGAGUCCAGAGAUCAUUAUGAAGAUUAAAUUUUUUUAAAAUGAAUGUGGGCUUGGUCGGAUUCUUACGUCUUCUUGUGGAGUUGGCUCUGCCUGGCAAAUAGAGGUUGGAAAAGAAAUAUUUACAACAGCACUUACUUGAUUUGCUGCGUGAGCCCUCUUAGGAGCUUUAUCAGAGUGCUCCAACCCAAGGUACUGCUCCCAUGCACCAUAAACAUCUCUUCUCUGAAGAAAACAAAAUUUCAAAUGUUGGAAGUUAAAAAAGAAAUCCACCUAGGCAAUACCCAUAAACAUGGUUUAGAUUGGCCUGCAGACAUAAUGUAAAAGAAAGGGGGACAUGAGUUGCGAUAGACCGUAGAUACACCUGAAAUCGGCUGGAAACAAUGUCAGAAUCCCGCAGGUACUCUGGACGACCAAGUGACAAGAAUGCAAACUUCCACUGCACAACAAAUGGGGAAAUCGACAAGGAAGCAAAAUAAAAGAUCAUUUAUACAUGCGAAUGAACAUUCUUUUCCUCUAGUGACCCCAUCCCAAUGAAUAUAAGGCAUGGGUCAAGUACCUUUGAGAACUCCUCAUCCGGGACUUGCAAUUUCUUUUGUAUCCUUAUUUUAACUUCAGCUAAAGUUUCCCCUUCAUGGAUAACCAAUACGAAAGGUUCCCCAAAAUUUUGUACUUGCUGUAAAAUGUACAAAUAAUAAGAAUAUGACCAAUUCGAAAAAUCACAGUUUUGGGUAAAAUCAUCUUUAACAGUAAUCAAAUAGUUUACAUCUACCAUCUGGUUCAAUACAGUAACCGUGAAGUGGAAAACAUGAAUCAAGCGACGAUAGAGACCCAAGUUUUUCUCUUCUUCUGGAAUCUGUUACACAAGAAAAGAAAAGGAAAAAAAAAAGGGAUAUUGAUGGGAUGUUGAUGGGAUGUUGAUCCAGAAAGUGAAACAAACAGAAUUACGAACCUUGCCCAUAAAGCUAUAUAAAAAAUUUCAACAGAGUUAAACCAGAAACUCUUCAAAAUAAAACUAAAUAAAGAAGAGGGGGAAAAGGGACUUGCCUCCUCUGCACGCAAAGUCCAGUACUGGUUAUUAAUAUUCUCAAUUUUCUCACUGUUUGGGAAGAUCUGAAAAAGAACACAAGGAAUUAUGAGUGCUACUGCUACUACAUCAGACAAAAUUACAUCAGUCCUAUACAGUAGAAGGGAUUCAUAUACAAUAAGAUCCUGAAAAUAAGCAAAAGCAUCAUGAUACCAAAUCAGCAUCACAAAUGAGGCAUGCUACAAUAACUUAAGACCAGAAAAAAAUAGCUAACAUGCUGAUACAUCAGGCAUACCAGCAGUAAUUACCUUGUAGAUCUUGUGAUCGAAAACCUCAAGCAGUCGCAGUUCUGCAUUUGGAUGAGACAACUCUACCUGUUUCAGGUACACCACACAUUGAGAGAGAUCCAUUAUAAGAAAACUGUUUAAGAGGCGGUGAUAACAAUUUCUACCACUUUUGUCAAGUAAUGAUCACCACUGCAAGUUGAGUGUAAUCUAUUAUUGGCAACUAUAAAGGACAGAAAGUACAGAAACCAGCAGAAGGAAGGGAAAAGAGUAGUUUUCAAUUAAAGGUCACAUUUUUUACAAGCUCUGCAGCCCUAAAGUAAUGUAUGAUAAGCAUCAUUAGCUUUCCUGAACAAAAAAUGAAAAACUAAAAACAAACAGAGGACUUCUCAUACAAUUGGCAGAAAUUUUUAGAUGGCAAGUCAUGGAUAAUACAUGGAAUGCAUAGAGAGAGAGAGAGAGAGACUUCACCUUCGUUUUAAGUACAUUAAUCACAUCCCCAACAAUGCUCUGUUUAGGCAAUCUAAUACUGUGAAUCUCCACCUGCAAACAAAUAACACAAGAUUAUGAUGUGCACAAUCGUCCACACGCAGAAGAUGCAGACCAAAUUUUACAUGAACCUCAUCUUUUGUAGCAUGAUGAAAAGCAACUUUUAGAUGUUUCAGAUCUUGCAAUUCUGGCAGGGUAAUUUCAAAGACUUCAUAGUACAAAAUAUCAGAGGUCUGUCAAAGGCAAAGCAUAAUUAGUACCCACACCACAUGAUGCUUAUGAGAGAGAGUUAAACAACAGAGGAGACCAAUACGAUGCACUUACUUGAUUGUAAUGAGUUAACAUUUCUGUUAAAUGCUCUACUCCCCGAUAUUUGAUGGGUUGGGCCCUAGGUUGUUGAGAAUAGCAGUUAUGUGCAGUGAGUCUGAUUUUGGUAGGAUCCUCCAAACCAAUGUGGUGAGCUAAUUUUUCCACCACAUCAUCAUAAGUGUGUAGCUUUGACCUAGAAAAGUACAAAGAAAAAAAACAGUUAUAGCAUUGGCACCAAACAAUAAAACAAAGAUGGACAGUCCAACUAUGAGGGACAACGAUUAAGUACUAACAAUUCUAAACAAAAAUCCUCCACCGUCGGUUUCUCCAAAGAAUGGAAAUGAACAAUCUGUAUAGCAUCAAAUCAUUCAAUAUAGUUAGGUUUAACAUUCAACAAAAUACAAAAUUAAAAAACACUGACAACAAAAGUAAAAGAAUGUGAAAAACCACUAAUUGAAUAAUGAAAUCUAAUUUAAACUAAAAACAAAGUAUAAAUUUCCACAGCCUGUACCCGGCGAUUGUGCACAUAGUCCAAAAAUGAAGGAACAUCAGGGUAUUUACAUCCUUCGUCAAUUUCAAGCGGAGUAGAUUUCUGAAAGCAUAUAAUGUCCCCAUCUUCAAUCUGGAAAAGCAAAGCAACAGAUUAACUACCAGGACCAACAAACCUAUAAAAGCAUAAAAUUUAAAUCUUAUAGCAGACACAUAUUUACAAUAUACCAAGCAUGCAAUAUAGCAACAAUUACCUGGCUCGACUGAAAUGAGGUCAUCUUGUCAAGGCGUUGGCACAUGACAGAAGGCUUAAACCUUAUUUCCUGAAUGCAGGACAAACACAUAUACAUUCUAAAUGUACGUAUUUAUUAAGUUAAGACGCAGCUGAAGCUACAAAGUUAAUGUGAAACACACCUCAUAAAUUUCAAUUUCUUCAUCAAGGGAAAAACCAGCAAGUUGAUUGAACUUUGCUAAAAUCUCCACUGGCUUAGUAAAACUCUUCACAAAAAGCCUGCCAACAAAACUGGAAACAGAAAAGAAACUUAAAUCAGCAAACAUGAGUCAAAACUCAAAAGAGAACUAUUUGGCUGAGCAGAAAGAGCCAUACCGUAGUUCUUGUUUCUCAGGUUCAUAAAGCUUAAAAAAAAGCAGGAUAUCUUCCUCGGUUUUGUUAGGCAGAGAAAUAGGACGUAGAAUCUGGAGAAUUUAUACAAGCAAGAAAAUAUAAGACUUGAUGUCUUCCAUAAAGCAAUUGGAACUACAAUAAGCCUCAAAACACAGGUCAUAACAAGAAUAUAGUAAAAUUGGAUUACCGGUCCAAACUCUACUUCCAAAAACAACUUUAGCUCCGCAUUGUGCAUUUUAUUUGAUACCCCUUCAAUUUGUCCAACCUGUAAAAACACAAGGGGUCAUCAUUAGCUCUUCUUGGCACCAAUGUACUGCUAAAACACUAUCAAUCAUUUCAAAAUCUGAGAUCAAAUGUUUAUCACUGCCCAUCAGAAUUUUUUUAUAUUAUAAUAACUUCAUUUAAAAUGCCUCAUCCAAUACUGGAAGCAUAAUGAUUAUCGAAAUAUAAAUUAAGAACUUUUUAAAUUCCAAUUUCGCAAGAGAAAUUGACAGUUAUAAGCGUACAUCAAUCGUUCAUAAACUUGAAAACUUAGUGUCAGACGCAGCAAAGUAAAAAUUGAGACGAAAUGAGAAUUAUGAAUUACGAAAGGAACAAGGAGCAGCAGAUGGAGAGGUUAUUUUCAUAAUCUUUUCAAUGAAGGACAUGAAAUGAGUGCUUCUUUAGGGGAGUUGAGUAACUCAGAAGAGUGUAGAAACUACUCUUUUUAUCGUCGAAUCCGGAAGGAAGAAGUGGUUGUAGCUUUGAAGAAGAUGAAGCAUAAAAAAGCAAUAGGCCCAGACGAUAUACCAAUCGAAGUGUGGAAACUUUUGGGAGAGACAGGUAUAACAUGGCUCACUGACCUUUUCAAUAGGAUUUUGAAAACGAAGAAGAUGCCAAAUGAGUGGCGAAUGAGCACUUUGGUGCCUAUCUACAAGAAUAAGGGCGACGUACAAAAUUGCAUGAACUAUAGGGGUAUUAAGCUAAUGAGUCAUACAAUGAAGCUCUGGGAGAGAGUCAUUGAGCAUAGAUUGAGGCAAGAGACAUGGGUUUCGGACAACCAAUUCGGGUUCAUGCCAGGGCGCUCAACCAUGGAGGCAAUCUAUCUCUUACGAAGAUUGAUGGAAAGAUAUAGAGAUGGGAAAAAGGAUUUACACAUGGUCUUUAUAGAUUUGGAAAAAGCGUAUGAUAGGGUCCCAAGAGACAUUCUUUGGAGGAUUUUAGAGAAGAAAGGAGUAUGAGUAGCAUAUAUAUCCAAGCUAUAAAGGAUAUGUAUGAAGGAGCAAAGACUGCCGUAAGAACUCAUGAAGGACAAACCGAAAGCUUUCCCAUAACUGUAGGAUUACACAUCAAGGCUCAUCCUUAAGUCCUUACCUUUUUGCGUUGGUAAUGGAUGAGUUAACACGACAUAUUCAAGAUGAUAUUCCUUGGUGUAUGCUUUUCGCAGACGAUAUAGUGUUGAUAGAUGAAACUCAGGAAGGGGUAAAUGCAAAGCUUAACCUUUGGGAGAGAAGUGUUGGAAUCUAAAGGUCUUCGCCUAAGCCGAUCAAAGACAGAAUAUAUGGAGUGCAAGUUCAGUGCAAAUGGAGGCCAAAACGAGUUAGGGGUGAGGAUCGAAGAUCAAGAAAUACCAAAGAGCGACCGUUUUCGUUACCUAGGAUCUAUCUUGCAAAAGAACGGAGAAUUAGAUGGAGAUCUCAACCAUAGAAUACAAGCUGGAUGGAUGAAGUGGAAGAGUGCAUCCGGCGUGUUGUGUGACCGCCGUAUGCCACUGAAGCUCAAGGGAAAAUUUUAUAGGACGGCAAUAAGGCCGGCGAUGCUGUAUGGCACAGAAUGUUGGGCGGUGAAACAUCAACACGUACACAAAAUGGGUGUAGCGGAGAUGAGGAUGCUUCGUUGGAUGUGUGGGCACACGAGAAAGGAUAAGAUUAGGAAUGAGGAUAUCCGGGGUAAAGUAGGAGUAGCCGAAAUUGAAGGAAAGAUGAGAGAAAAUCGGUUACGGUGGUUUGGACAUGUGCAAAGAAGGCCUACUGACGUUCCGAUUAGAAGAUGCGACUAUGGGACAGAGGUUCAGGGCCGAAGGGGUAGAGGAAGACCUAGGAAAACUUUGGAAGAGACUCUAAGAAAAGACUUAGAGUACUUGGAUCUAACGAAGGACAUGACACAGGAUCGAGCACAAUGGCAUUCUAAGAUUCAUAUAGCCGAUCCCACUCAGUGACUUGGAUUUUCCAAGUCUCCAACCGAGAAGUUUUCCUCACUCGGGAAAUUAAGGGAACACUACCCCAACCUACAUGCUCCACUCAGAAAGCUUCAACAUACAAGCUUUAACAAAAGAAAAUUCAAAGAACUUAGCGAAGAACGGCUUUGGUGUAUUUAACACAAUACGUUGAAAUGAAGGAAAGCUUAUUUAUUGAUAUCCCCGAUAAGCUACAAAUAUGUACAUAUACAUGAGUCAAAAUAAGCACACAAGAGGGAGCCUUCACAAAGGUUGCUUAGGAGAAGUCUCAGCAGUCGGUAGAGCCCCAGAAAGAGAAGGCACCGGAGGGGAUCAUUUGGAGCCUCAGUACUGGACAGAACCCUAGAAGGAGGAGGCAUCAGAGGUUGAUCAUUUGGAGCUUCAUUACGCGGUACAGCCCCAGAAGACGAAGGCAAUAAAUGCCUUUGGAACAAACCCACAAAUCUCUGAUGAUCAAGUAAAACCUGACCAUCAGUUUCCUUCAUCUGGUCAAGCUUCCUCUUCAUGUUUGUAGCAUAGUCAUGUGCGAGCCGGUGCAACUGUUUAUUCUCAUGCUUGAGCCCUCUAAUCUCCUGUUUGAGACUCAUCACUUCAGCCGCCAAUGAUUCAACUUGGCGGGUUCGAGCAAAUAGGCGUUGGGCCAUAUUAGACACAGAACCUGCACACUGAACACUGAGAGCCAGCGAAUCCUUAACAGCUAACUCAUCAGACCGUUUGGAAAGUAGUCUGUUAUCUUUGGGAGUGAGAAGGUUCCUGGCCACCACCGCAGCGGUCAUAUCAUUCUUCAUCACGGAAUCCCCAACGGUAAGAGGACCAGUAGGGGAGACGAAGGAUGGGCGCCAUAUGUUGUCUGGAGAAGGCGGGGCUGCCUCUUCAACAAGGUUCAAGUCAAAACGACGGUCGGAGGGGCCAGACAUUUUCAAAGGUGUUGAAGAGAGAAGAGGUCGGACAAAUCAAGAUCUUAGAAGUGCAAGAAUGAAGCUUCUACUGGUGGAGAUUCAAGUGUGCUUUGGAACUUAAUGCCAGCCCCUAUAAAAAUCUGCACUCGACGAAGCUUCAGAAAUCGAAGAGGCGCCUGCUCAGAAAUCGAAGAGGCGUUUGCUUUCUCAAAAGCUGGGCUGCUUAGAGAUCACGAGGGUUGAUCUCAGAAAUCGAAGAGGCGUUUGCUUUCUCAAAAGUUGGGCUGCUCAAAGACCACGAAGGCCGAUCUCAAAAUCGAAGAGGCGCUCGCUUUCUCAAAAGCUGGGCUCCCCAGAGACCACGAGGGCCGAUCUCAGAAAUCGAAGAGGCACCUACUUUUCCAGCCUUUUCCAGCCUUGUCAGCACCUGUCACACGCACACUCAGUUUUGCGGAAAUUAUGGGCAUUCUGUCAAAGACUUCUGGGGAAGUAGAAAACACAUGAAUCUUACUGUUCAAUCACCCACUUCCCACACGCAACAAUAGCUCAUGGGUACCACAGAUAACUUUGCCAAAGUUCUCUGCCAAAGUUGAGCACGUGAAGCUUGCAGCUCCCACUACAUCGCUCUGACCAAGAAGGGUAAAAGAAUAGCAAAGAAACAGCACUAACAAAGUUUAGACCCAUAAAUUUUGAAGGUCUAGCUACCAUAUUAUUACCCACAAGGGUAAAGGAACAGUACCACUGCUGGAUAAUUGGAAAGUCCCUGUGUGUCAACCUCUGUGCUUCGUGGCAAGGUAGACUAGCAAACAUGCCCAACCUUUACUCACAUUCGAGAAAACACUCCCAAUAAGAUUGCUUGCUCCAAAAUCGAAGAGGCACCGUCCUCCGAAUCUCGAGAGCCAGACUCCCAACAUGACUACUUUCUUAAAAAUCGAAGAGAGGGUAAAGGAACAGUACCAUUGCUGGAUAAUUGGAAAGUCCCUGUGUGUCAACCUCUGUGCUUCGUGGCAAGGUAAACUAGCAAACAUGCCCAACCUUUACUCACAUUCGAGAAAACACUCCCACCAAGAUUGCUUGCUCCAAAAUCGAAGAGGCACCGCCCUCCGAAUCUCGAGAGCCAGACUCCCAACAUGAUUACUUUCUCAAAAAUCGAAGAGACACUGCUCCCCGAAUCUCGAGAGCCAGACCCCCAGCAUGAUUGCUUUCUCAAAAAUCGAUGAGGCAUCGUUCUCCGAAUCAAUCGAAGAGGCGCUCGCUUUCUCAAAAGCUGGGCUGCUCAGAGAGACCACGAGGGCCGAUCUCAGAAAUCGAAGAGGCACCUACUUUUCUAGCCUUGUCAGCACCUGUCACACGCACACUCAGCUUUGCAGAAAUUAUGGGCAUUCUGUCGAAGACUUCUGGUGAAGUAGAAAGCACAUGAAUCUUACUGUUCAAUCACCCACUUCCCACACGCAACAAUAGCUCAUGGGUACCACAAAUAACUUUGCCAAAGUUCUCUGCCAAAGUUGAGCACGUGAAGCUUGCAGCUCCCACUACAUCGCUCUGACCAAGAAAGGUAAAAGAAUAGCAAAGAAACAGCACUAACAAAAGUUUAGACACAUAAAUUUUGAAGGUCUAGCUACCAUAUUAUUACCCACAACUGUAAAGGAACAGUACCACUGCUGGAUAAUUGGAAAAAUCCCUGUGUGUCAAUCCUCUGUGCUUCGUGGCAAGGUAGACUAGCAAACAUGCCCAACCUUUACUCACAUUCGAGAAAACACUCCCAAUAAGAUUGCUUGCUCCAAAAUCGAAGAGGCACCGUCCUCCGAAUCUCGAGAGCCAGACUCCCAACAUGACUACUUUCUCAAAAUCGAAGAGAGGGUAAAGGAACAGUACCAUUGCUGGAUAAUUGGAAAGUCCCUGUGUGUCAACCUUUGUGCUUCGUGGCAAGGUAGACUAGCAAACAUGCCCAACCUUUACUCACAUUCGAGACAACACUCCCAACAAGAUUGCUUGCUCCAAAAUCGAAGAGGCACCGCCCUCCGAAUCUCGAGAGCCAGACUCCCAACAUGAUUACUUCCUCAAAAAUCGAAGAGACACUGCUCUCUCUCCGAAUCUCGAGAGUCAUACCCCCAGCAUGAUUGCUUUCUCAAAAAUCGAAGAGGCAUCGUUCUCCGAAUCUCGAGAGCCAGAUACCACAGACCACUUUUUCAAAGUGCUCUGACAGAGUUAAAACAUGUGAAACUGGCAGCUCCCACUACCGUGCUAUGACCAAGCAGGGUAAAGGAAUAGCAUUACUACUUGUUGUUAGGGAGACUCCUAUAUAUGUCGACCUCCAUCCCCAACGGACAGGCAGACCUGCAAAAAUGCUCAACCCUUCAUCAUAUCUGAGAGGGCACUCCCAACGAAGCCUUUCGAAAUAUUCAGCUUUCUUUCCCCCCGAUAAUACCUCUGCAAACAAGCUAUACUAGAGCAAGAAUAUCUCAUAUCAUCAGGGUUUAAAAGCAAGAGUAUCCCAUAUCAUGCUUUUUCCCUGUCUUUUCUUUUGGCCUUGUUUUUACCUACAAGACAAGGAGAAAGAGAGCAAUCAGUCAGCACUUGGAAUCAAGCUUCCAGCCAGGAACUGACUGCCUGGAACCCCUUACCUGAUUACUUACCUGGCAUUGCUCUCGAGUACUCAUCUUCAACAUCUUAUGUUUCCAGGGAAGAUUCCGCAUCUGCUUGAGGAACAGAUAGGGCAAGUGCGAAGGAUACAAGGAAGCAUGUGGAGACAAGCGUAACAGCACACGUGCCGAUACAUUCAUUACUCUGUCAAAAGCAAAAGUAUCCCAUAUCAGCAGGGUGGAACGUACUCUAGAUUUGAUGGACUUGUUUUGACCCUCAAAUUCUUCAGUCGGCCUUAUACUCUGGAGGAAACCAGAAAACCCUCCAGCUCAGUUCAAGAAUAAGCCUGUGGAAAGUUACUUCUUCAAAAGCAAAAGUAUCUCAUAUCAUCUCUUCUCAUUUUUCUUCUCUUUAUCCUUCAUGCUGCUGCAAGAUGGGGAGAAGGUGAACAAUCAGUCGGAGCUCUGAUGGCUUACCUUGUCUGUCACCUCUUUCAGCAGACCCCCUAGCUCGGCGACUUGGGGGACUCCUACUACAUGGUUUGUAUCGCGCUUGACCAAGCCUGAAACUACAAGUAAGCUUCAAGUGAAAUUGAUACAUUACCUUGUGCAUCUCCACUAGUUAAAGAUACCACCCCUGGAUGGAGGAAGAGUACUUCCAGAGAAGAUGCCACAUCUACCUAUGAGACAGAUAAGGCAAGUCAAGACGACACCACACUCCGAUACUUAGAAGUUUCGUGAUUACGAGAUCAUUCUCCCACAAUAUUUCCUAAUGUCAUUUGUACUAAAUCAUUCACUUGUACUCACUAAAUGAGAGCUUGAACCUAUGUACUUGUGUAAACCCUUCACAAUUAAUGAGAACUCUUCUAUUCCGUGGACGUAGCCAAUCUGGGUGAACCACGUACAUCUUGUGUUUGCUUUCCUAUCUCUAUCCAUUUAUAUACUUAUCCACACUAAUGACCGGAGCAAUCUAGCGAAGAUCACAAAAAGCGAUCGUUUUCGCUACCUAGGAUCUAUCUUGCAAGAGAACGGAGAAUUAGAUGGAGAUCUCAACCAUAGAAUACGAGCUGGAUGGAAAGAGUGCAUCCGGCGUGUUGUGUGACCGUCGUAGGCCACUGAAGCUCAAGGGAAAAUUUUAUAGGACGGCAAUAAGGCUAGCGAUGUUGUAUGGCACAGAAUGUUGGGUGGUGAAGCAUCAACACGUACACAAAAUGGGUGUAGCGGAGAUGAGGAUGCUUCGUGGGAUGUGUGGGCACACGAGAAAGGAUAAGAUUGGGAAUGAGGAUAUCCGAGGUAAAGUAGGAGUAGCCGAAAUUGUAGGAAAUAUGAGAGAAAAUCGGCUCCGGUGAUUUUGAACAUGUGCAAAGAAGGCCGACUGACGCUCCGGUUCGAAGAUGUGACUACGGGACAGAGGUUCAGGGCCGAAGGGGUAGAGGAAGACCUAGGACAACUUUGGAAGAGACUCUAAGAAAAGACUUAGAGUACUUGGAUCUAACGGAGGACAUGACACAAAACCGAGCGCAAUGGCGUUCUAGGAUUCAUAUAGCCGACCCCACUUAGUGGGAAAAGGCUUUGUUGUUGUUGUUGUUGUUGUCAUGAUCAACAAGGUCAAAAUAUAUAUCCCUUCCAAUUUGUUCUGCCAGGUCCUCAUCUCGAACAACCUAAACAUAUCAAUAAAUUUUGUUAUUAUUUUUUUGUGUACACCAAAUACCUGUACUAGCACAUCUGAAGAUUCUGAACAGGGAUAAACUAGAAAGCUUUACCUUAAUAAUAGUGUAGUGGUGUGCUUGUUCCUUAAAUCUCUCUUUUUUCUCUUUCUCUUGUUCUUUUUUCAAUCUUAUCUGAAAUGAAUCAUAGAAAAAAGGUUCAGCCCCUUAAGUCUGACACUGGAAUCCAGAACCUAUACUACCAUUAACUAGAAGUAAAGACAAGCAUUUUACCCUCAGAUGUUCGGCUAUGUCUUUCUCAUCCACAUUACAUAUUACUUUGUCCUUAUCACUGUCCCGUACAUACACAAGCAUGUAUGCAUCUGAGUGUCUUGUCAAUUUGAAAGGAGUAUUAUUGAAGUCAGGAUUGGUCUGUGGCAACCGUUGGAAAGAAAACAACAAACGGUCAGUUGAGAAUUAAGUAACCUUAAAAUAAGGAGAAUUAUAGCAGUUGGGAUACAGCCAAAAAUAAACUACCUCUUCCUCACCACCAUAUUGCUCUUCUAAAGCCCUCUUCACAUCCUCUUUUGUCACACAUUUAUCACCAAACUUGUACCUAAAACAAGAUAUGACAAAUUACAUCAACACAUAUGAAAUGCAUGCACAAGAACACUCAGUCAUGCAUAAAAAUCCAAAUAAGGAAAUGCAAACUUCAAAGUAUUACUUGAAAACAUAAAAUGCAUAUAAGUUAUAACAAAACAGAUGCUUUCUUUAAAGUUCUCGAACGGGCAGUCAGGUAACCAAGUUAUGGUGUCAAAGUCCAUCGGGAAAGCAAUGUAAGAAAUAUAGACUCCAAUAAACCAAGUUAUUUGAAUAAGGAGUAACAAAGAAAAGUAAGAAGCAAAGCAAAAGAGUAGUGUGAGAGAAUGUCUGUCUCGUGCUUAUGUGUUUUUGUGUGUGAGACUGGAAACAAUUACAGAGAGAAUCGAUUCCAGGAGAUCCGUACCACUGGUCUGAAAGGGUUGGUCUGAUGAAAGCAUGGUAAUGUCCACCAUGAACCCCACCACUAUGAACCAAGACACUGCAACAGUAGAAAAUUAUCAUAGUAAGUAACCAAUUACAACGUAAAAAUUUGAAGCUCCACACAACAUGAAGAGCACCAAACAGGCAGAUGAAAAAGCAGGUUCGAAUAACCGUCUUCAGAUAUUGCCAAGCACAGAGUGCAUACAAAGGUCUAGAAAGUAAUAUUCAUUGAAAUAACAUGCCAAAUUUAGGAAACAGAUGAACCAUAUUAUAUCGUGCAAUAGUGCAAGGCAAAAUAGAUACCUAUGAAGAGUGUAGAGGUUGCGAACACUCUUAUCUGAUUCAGGUGAUAGAUAUUUUCCAUUCUCCCUAUCAAGGUCAAGUUGAAGAGGAAAUUCAUAGCGAUCAUUUAUCUGCCAAAAAAAAAAAAUAAUACAACAUUCUUACCAUGAUAGUUUAUUUGCUUUCCAUUAAUAUUUACAUGCUACAGUUUUGUUUUCAACUAAGAAGCUUUGUAGUAAAGCAUUACACUUUCAAUGUUUCAUGUAAUAAAACACGCAGCAGGAGGAAGAUGAGCUUCCAGUACAAACCUUAACCGUAGUGUCCCGCAUAAAAUCAUAUUCAAAUCGCUUUAGCUGAAGUUGAAGAACGGGAGGGAAGUCGAUAAACAGGACACCCUUCUUAGCAUCCUGGAAUAAACAUCCAAAAUAUUCCUUGAGAACAAUAUUUUAAAUUUUUAAUAUCAAAGAAAUAUAUGUAAGAAUACUGGCGUCAGCAAGUGAUUUAAUAAAAAGACAAAACUAAGGACGGCAUCCAAUCAGAACUUAAAAUAUAACGUUGUGAGAACCAUAUGUUAAAAAUCUAAGUGGAAGAGGAAAUAAUGCAAGACCACUAGUUUUAUAAAGUGGUUUGUGGAAGGAAACAACUAAUAGCAGCCUCAGAUUAGAAUCACAGUAUAAAUGCAGUCACCAAUGGAAUUUGGUAAUUAACCUGCAAACCUAGUUCUUCGGAGUGGUAUUUGUUGUCACCCUCAAGACGUUUAACUUCCAAAAACUUACUAAAAGAAGCAUAAACAUCCCGACAGCCUUUCACAUCAAGCUGGAGGUCUGCAAAGAAAUAAGAAGAAACCAGCGGCAUGUGUUGACAUUCACAAACUACUUCACACUCUUAACACUUUAAAUUGUGCAAGAAAAUAUUACCAUAAAAUGAUUCUUUCCAUGUAGAUUUGUAGUCCACAUUGAAGCAUUCAAUGUAAUUCCUGUAAUGUCCUUCAAAUAACUGUUGUAUUGUACCCUCCACAAUAGUUCCCUGGACCCACAGAACAAUUAUCAGAAUGAAAAUGAAACACAAACUAUACUCAUGGAAAAAACUGAAACAUUCCCAUACCUUCAUUUUAUCUUCAAGCUUUUUGAUAAGAACUCUAUUAAGUUCCGGCAGGUCAUGUUUCACAAACAAAUCAUGUGUGGGACCAAAAGACUUGGUCAAUUCUUUACUUGCAACACUGCUUUCACUGUAUUGAAGUUUAUAGAAUAAACGUUGUAGUGCCAAAGGGAUGCUUCCUGAAGGCAUGUCAUCCUCAGUUGUCGGCAUAUGAUGCACACACUGGUAAGUAACUCCAACAUUAAGAUCUUGCAUAUAAAAUUCAAAAGACAAUUCAUGUUUAGCUUACAGUAACAACAGGAGAUCACGUAAACAACCUUUCUGAAGUAUGGUAUAUGGUACCAAGUCCGGAGUAGAGAAUUCAUAUAACCAUUUGCUCCCUGAUUCUUGAGCCCAACAUAACCAGUUUCCUUUUUCGAGUCAUAUGACCCAUAAUCAAGAACCUUACAGACAGAAAUCUCAGCUUCAACCACAACUGUAUCGUUCACCAGAUAUCCCCUACUCUGGUCAUAAAGAUCACCAAGAAGCAUGAAUGAAGUGUAUCCCCAGUCACCUUCUCUUGCAUUGAACUGGUGUUGUGUGUCUGCAAUAUCAUACAACAAUCAAGGACAAAGGUCUUAAAAUUUGACUACUCUGGUCAUAAAGCACAAAAUUGAAUGCUAAAAGGAAAUAAGACUAAUAGAGAAAUAUACCCUUUCUUAUUGAGUACUUGGGAUGGAUCUGAUUAACUACUGCCAAGCCGAACUGCGCACACCUACUCCACCCAUAUGGCAAUGUCCUGGAAUCUGCCGCAUCCAAAUACAUUGACAAGUAGUCCACAUUGUUUCCCUUGGGAAAUAUUAGUAUCCGCCUGAUCAAACAUACCAAAAGCAAUUCAAAAUCCAAACGCCGAGAUACAAAUAUAAGCCAAACUUAAGCAGCAUAAAUCAGUUUUUGACAUCAGGUAGACAAGAGAAAAUACCAUUUAUAGCCGCCAACAACGAACAUGUCAGAGUAGUAGUGCUUCUUGGUGUUCAACCUAGUAAAGUUCUCAAUUGUCCAAGUGAAUUUCAUCGCUGGAGGAUCCUCCACUGGCUGACUAUCAACUGUACAAGCCGGCUCCACUUGGGCUACUAGCAACACACCAAAUACCAUAAAUUUCAAAACAACAAAACCACCACACUAAAGAAAAUGCAAUCACUUGCCCUCUAAUCAAACCUCGUGACGCCAAAUUCGCACAAAAAUCAAUUCUUUCAGAUUAGGCAACACCGUAAACACAAACUUAAGAAAUUCAAACAGCAAAUCAUCGAAAAAUUGCUAAAAAUUAAACCUUCCAUAGGCUGAGGGCCUUCGACCAAAUCCGAGUGCGGCACAAGUAUCUCUUCGUCCUCUUGCUGCUGCUGCUGCUAACAAAAUAAGCAAAAAUCAGAGCUCUGAUCAAGAAAAACCUAACCAGAGGGUCGCGUGCGUUACUUUUAACAGGCAAAUGACGGCAUGUGAUCUUUCCUCGUACACUGGUAAUCAAGCUUUUGUUCAAGUGGGUGAUGGACUGGAUUCUCCUACUUUCAUUCAAGGGAAUUUUAACGAAAAGCACCUGUUACUGUUCACUUUAACGAAAAACCACAUUUUUACACUAAAAAGUCAAUCCUGGUACUAUUCACUUUACCCUUUAUUUUGUCCUUAUCAUUAAAACUCAAAAGUUUUCAAGCCUUUUCAUUAGUUUUCUUUCAUACAAUCCAGCACUCAGUGCGGAAAGGUAUCUAAAUUAAUUAACAAAAUUUUCUUUCUGAAUCAAAAAAGCGUGAAAAGCGAUUCAGUCUUUAUCACAAUAUAAAAUUAUAGAUGUAAUUCCGCACAGAGAGAACUGUUAUGAAAAACUCCCUCAAAAUAAGACUCUUUUUGUACUAUUUGCCAUUUUUAUGUUUUUGCAUAAUUCUCGUGUUUAUCUUACGAAUCUUCGUGCAAAAAAAAUAUGAGAUGACAAAGAGUUAGAUGAAAAUUCACAAUUUGAAAGGAGUUUUUAUAUAUAAAGAUAAAAACUUUUACUAUAUUUUAAGGAACUGUACUAAUUUUUUUAAAGGCACAAAAACAUAAAAACAAUUCAAGUCCAGACCAAAAACAUAAAAAUAAUGUUUUAAAAUAUCAAUCAUACUCAGUUUUAAGAAGGCCAAGUGAACCCUCUAAUUUGCUCUGGUGUAAGUUGCCACGUUGAGACUUGAGGGACCACCCCUUCAUUGAAUGAGGGAAACUUGUAGGGCAAGUAGUUCCGUCGUGAAGAAAAAGGAAAUUCCUUUUCCCAGUGCGUAUUCUUUAUCAAACUCGGACACCGAUGGUAAAGAAUUAGCACUGCGAAAAGGAGUUUCUUUUGCACCAUCUUUCCCACCUAACUUUGUAGAAUCAGUUUUGAAGUUAUAUGUAGAUUCGGUUUGUAUCUUUUAUUAUUAGAAUAAAUUCAUUUUGUCGUCAAUCAUUUUUGUAGAAUCAGUUCAAUCAGUUCUCAAUCAUUUUUGCAGAAUUAAUUUAACUCGUCUUCAACCAUUUUUGCAGAAUCAGUUCAACUCGUCCUCGAUCAUUCUUGCAAAAUUAGUUCAACCCGUAUUCUACUAUUUUUGUAGAAUCAAUUCAACCGUCCUCCACUAUUUUUGCAGAAUCAGUUCAACUCGUCUUCGACCAUUUAUACAGAAUUAGUUUAUCACGUCCUACAUCAUUUUGGCAAAAUUAGUUCAAGUUGUCCUGACCAUUCUUUCAGAAUCAGUUCAAUCAGUCAUCGACCUUUGUUACUGAAUUAGUUCAACUCGUCAUCCACCAUUUUUACAAAAUCAGUUCAAUCCGUAUUCGACCAUUUUUGCACAAUCAGCUUAACCCGCUCUCCACCAUUUUUGUAGAAUCAAUUCAACUUACUCUCCACCAUUUUGCAUAAUCAAUUGACCAUCUUCGACAAUUUUUGCAGAAUCAAUUCAACCCGUCUUCGACCAUUUUUGCAAAAUCAGUUCAACCCGUCUUCGACCAUUUUUGCAGAAUUAGUUUGUAUAUUUUGAACAAAAUUACAUGCAUGUCAUUAGUCCAACCCAUCGACCAUUUUUAUCAGUAUCAAAUAUAUGUAUAAUCAGUUUGUAUACUUUUUAGUAGAUUCAGUUUGUAUAGUUUUAGUAUAAUCAAAACUUUCAAAAAAAAAAUUACAUGCAUACCAUCAAUCAAACCUCUCAUCAACCAUUUUUUGCAGCAUCAGUUUCAAAAAAAAAAAAAUAUAUAUAUAUAUAUAUAUAUAUAUAUAUAUAUAUAUUUAAUAAUUUUAGUAGAACCAAUUUAACAUUUGGUCAUUCACUUAAUAUAUAUAUAUAUAUAUAUAUAUAUAUAUAUAUAUAUAUAUAUAUUUUAAUAAUUUUAGUUGAACCAAUUUAACAUUUGGUCGUUCACUUAACCUCACUUAAGAGUUUAACUCGUAAUCAAACUUUUUUUUAAUUGGAAAUCUAACUUUUAUUUUAUUGGAAAUCCAAUCAUGUUUUAUAUAAAAUAAAUCAAAAAUCAAAAAUCAAAAGCAUAUGUGGCUUUUCGUCUUCUUCCCCAAUAUUCUUUUCACCUUGCCGGUCAAUAUCAUGUAUUGAAUGAUGGUGUACAAUAUCGUCAUCUGUUCACCAUGUGCCUCCAUCAUCACUGCCAUGUCCAAGGCUACCUGAUGUAACUACAAUAAUCGAAUUGAAAUAAACCUCUCAUAUUUCCAGGCCUUGCAGACCAACGGGUGGACAUUUCACAGAUCCGGUGGUGACGGUGUCAGCAGUAUAAUUGGAGAUCUCAAAGGAUACGGCGACGUACGAUUAGGCGGCGAGGUUGCACCCGUUUUUAUGUGUUGCCUCUCUGGUUUUAAUUCUGGGUAAUGGGCAUAAGAGAGAAAAUUACAAUUGUACCAUGGAGAGGAAAUAUAAAUAGAGAGAACUAUGACAGCUAACAAAAAAAUAGAGAGAUCGUUCAAACCCAAAGGUUAAAAUUGUAAAUGUGAAAAACAACUUAAAAAUGUUAGACGUCACUUGUGAGGUAGAAUAGUUUUUGUCCAACCUUGAAAUGUUUAGAAAGGGAAAAAUUAGGAUCUAGUCCCUAAUUUUUAAUGUUCAUUGAUUGAAACUUUAUCAGUUUUUGGAUUUUGAUCAAAGUCCCUAGCAUUAAUGUAUUAAUGAUUACAUGUUAGUUACAUAAUUUUUAAAAAUAAAAAUUAGUAAUUGAUUUUGGAUUUUGAAACUUACUAAUCUUAAAUGUACCCAUUCAUAUAAUUUUUCAAUUUUUUCUAAUCUUAAAUGUACCCAACCCCCUCCCCUUAGUAUAGAUAAUAUAUUUUGUUCAAAAAAAAAAGUACUCAUUCUUAAAUAUACCAAUUUGUUAUAUGUGAAAUGUACCUUGUUUUAAAUAAAAUGCACCCAUUUUUUUAUAUAAAAUUCAUUUAAUCUUUUUCUUAAUCCCUUAUAUAAACUUAUAUCGGUGCAUUAUAUUUCGUUGAUUUGAGAAUGUAUCCAUAUCAAGUUUAAUAGAAGAAAUUUAAUAAUGUUAUUACGCAUAAUAUCUUCUUUAUUUAUUUUUUUGAAAAUGUACCCAUGUUUUGGUACAAUAAUUUUUUGGUUAGUUUUGAUAAACGUACCCAUGUAUAUAUAUACACACACACAAAAUAUAUAUUGGAGAGUAUAAUUUAUAUUUAAUGUUUUUGAUCCCAUAAAUUAUGGGUUUUAUUUAAAAUCUCAUCAAUAUAAAUAACUACAAAUUUCAUUUUUAAUUUAAAAAUAUAAUAACCUAUAUAGAAAUACAUUAUUACAUUAAUGUCAGGGACUUCGAUCAAAAAUUGAAAAUCACAAAGGUUUUAGUCAAAGAACAUUGGUAGUUAAGGAUCACAUCUAAAGUUUCCCGUUCAAAAAGUGUUGUUUCAAUAUAAAAUUAAGUACUAAAAGUAUACUCUAUGUGUAAUUUUUCCUAUUUAGUAUAGUAAGUGCAAAUUUGAGAAAAAGGGCAUUGUUGAAAUUCUAAAGAGAAUUUGACGAUGGUUCUUCUCUUAAUUAUAGUAUAAAUGGAAAUGUUAUCUACUUCAAUUUUUCAUCCAUAAUUUUAUUAAAUUUGAUCACACGACAUGCACAGUCUAACUUUAAACUUAGAGCUUGUUUAGAUGUGCUUUUGAAAUAACUAAAAUCGCUUUUGGUGAAAAUAUUUUUAGAAAUAAUCCUUAGUAAAAAUAUCAUUAAAUCCUGGAAAAGUACUUAAAGUGUUUCCUGGAUGAAGCAUAUAACUGGUACUUCUUAUAGAAAUCACUUAAAGUGCUUUUGAAACCUAAAAACAUUUUUUCUAAAAACUCUUUUAGUCAUUUUAAAAGUACAUCCAAAUAAGCACUUUGUCUAAUAAGACAUCUCCUUCAAAAGUUGGAAUAAAUCACAAGUUUUUUUCUUUUUGAAAAAUGAUAGUGUUUGAUUAGUUAGUUGAAUGUUAAGAGAAGGGAAUUGGUGUAAGAAAAAAACCCUUCAUGUGAUAUCACAUCCCAACUUUUGUAUCGGGACGUGAAAUCUACACCAAAUCAUAGUUAAACUUAUUACAAAAAUGUGGCAUGCAAAAGGAUAUAUAUUUUUGCCAAUCACUCGAUAAUCAAAUAUUUUAAAUGAAAAAGAAGAAUUGUUCAUCUUGUUGUAAAUAACAUGUUUAUUUAGGAAUGUGAUAGUGUAAACUUAAAGUAGAAUCACAAUAGAAUUUGGAUAUCAAAUUCUCAUAGACUUUGAAUUACCUGUAUGACAAAAAAGUUCAUCAUGAUUAGUAUAAAUAGAAGGUAUUGCUAGAGAGAUAACUUUUUGAACCAAAUUUUGUAAACCAUAUGACUUAGCUGUUGAUUAUUGAAUUAUUAUUUAAGUGUUAAUUAACGUAAACGUGCUUAUUUUCUAUUGGUGACACAUCACAUAAUUUGUAAAUUUGGUCUAAAGAAUUAGUCUACGUACAUACACAAAGGCACUAGGCAUGAGGAAUUACACAUAGAAUUCCUCACGCCCUUCUCUCUUUCUGUUUAGUUUUGCUGCACUCUCUCUACUCUCCCUGAAUCAUUAGUUUUACAACACAUUAUCAGCACGAAUAACUAUGAUGAUGAGCUAAGAACGUAUAGUCCUAGGGUUUGGACAGAUGUGGCUGAAUACCAGUUGUUCCGACUGUCCUUGUAAAACUAAUAGACGGAAAAAGUUGACAAAAAAAGUUGACUAUAAGUUUCUCGGUAAAAAAGAAAAAGAAAAGAGAGAGACUUAUUUCUAGCAAUGGCUUCACCAAAUCUAAAGGAUAGAAGAAUUGAGAGAUCAUUUCCAAUUCUAUGACACUGAUCAAUGUUCCAAUGGGGAGGCUAAUGGGAAUAAAAUUAUAUCCAGUUAUUAGCUAAUUUGUAAUUUAUCUGCUUAUUUUUAAUUUCCUUGACGACAUUGGAUAAAAUUAAAACGAUAUACUUAUUUUAAAAACAAUUAUGAUUAAUUAGUACAUCAGUUUAGAUAGUUGUUGGAGGUUUUUAUUUGGGUAAAAGACUGUUUACUACCCUCAUGUUUUGUGGUUUUCAACAUUUAGUACAUCAAGUUUUUUUCGUUCCAGAUUCAUACCUAAAGUGUAAAUUUUGGGACAGUCUCAUACAUCCGUUAGUCAAACUGUUAAAUCUGCCAUUAAUUGUGACGUGGCGCCAUGAUUGGGCGCCACGUGUCAUCCAUAUUUUUUUUUUUCGUUUUUUCUUCUUUCUUCUUCUUCCUUCUUCUGCAACUUUUUUUUUCUUCCUCCUUCUCCUUCUUCCUUCCUCCUUCUUCAUUCCCCUUCUUCUCCUUCUUCCUUCUUCUUCCUCCGAAUUUGGGGAAGUUUUUUUUUUUCUUUUUUCUUUUUUCGUUUUUCUUCUUCUUCCUCCUUCUUCUUCUUUCUUCUUCUUCUUCUUCCUCCGACUGCAACUUUUUAUUUUUUUAAUUUUUUUGAGGAAGAUGAAGGAGAAGGAAGAAGGAAGAAGGAAGAAGGAGAAGAAGGGGAAGGAAGAAGGAGGAAGAAAAAAAAAGUUGCAGUCGGAAGAAGAAGAAGAAGAAGGAAGAAGAAGAAAGAAGGGAAAAAAAAAACCUUCAUCUUCCCCGGAUUCGAAGGAAGAAGAAGGAAGAAGGAGAAGAAGGGGAAGGAAGAAUGAGGAAGAAAGAAGGAGAAGAAGGAAGAAGAAGAAAAAAGUUGCAGUCGGAGAAGGAAUAAGAAGAGGAAGAAAGAGGAAGAACGAGGAAGAAGAAGAAAAAAGAAAAAAGAGAAAAAAAAAAACUUCCCUAGAUUCGGAGGAAGAAGAAGAAGAAGAAGGAGAAGAAGGGGAAGGAAGGAGGAAGGAAGAAGGAGAAGGAGGGAAAAAAAAAAGUUACAGAAGAAGGAAGAAGAAGAAAGAAGAAAAGAUAAAAAAGAAAAAAAAGAAAAAAAAACGUGGAUGACACAUAGCGCCCAGUCAUGGCACCACGUCACAAUUAAUGACAGAUUUAACAGUUUGACUAACGGAUGUAUGAGACUGUCCCAAAAUUUACACUUUAGGUAUGAAUCUGAGACGAAAAAAAUUUGAUAUACUAAAUGUUGAAAACCACAAAACAUGAGGGUAGUAAACAGUCUUUUACCUUUUUUAUUUUUAUUUUUUUAUCUACAUUAAAGGAGUGUAGAAGUGGGCCCAUUUUGUGCUUACAAUGACUAACUUAACUUUAUUCCGUCUGUUGUUUGGUACAUUGUUUAUACAUAGGACUGGACGGGAUGAGAUAUAUUCAAACAAAGAAAAUGAAAGGAUUGUACAGUGUUUAUGCGUGGGUAAGUACAAGUAGCUAGCUGAUACCAACAUAUAAAAGAGAAAGGUAGAUAGUUAAAAAUGUAAAUGGAAUUGCUCUACAUUACUAUGCUCCGGUAAAUUGUUGUGUUCUGGAGAAUUAAAAAAAGUUGUACAAUUGCUGAGUGCGAGUAUGAACUCAAUGGCUGCAGUUCUCAACUUGAUGGAGCUUACAUCGACUGUUCGGUGUAGAAAGAAGAGAAGACUAGCGGCAUUGCAGUUCUGCCCGGACGCAGUCAUCAAGUAAACAUUGUUAUGCUGUAUAAACAAGUAGCUCACGCCAUUAACAUGAACAACUGGAUCAUGAGACUCCGGAUCAACCUGAACCGCAUCUCAACAAGCAUGGAAAGAAAAACAAAAUGCCACUAUCAAUUUCUACUCUCACAAAACAUAUCAAAUCCAAAUUUGUAGGGGAAUAAUUCAUCAACAAACGACAAUUCAAUUUUGUUUUCCUUCGUUUUCUUGGCAACCAAUCAGUUCCCCAAACAAUUACAAGAUAAAAAACGCAGAAAUUCUGGAAAUGGAGGUGUUAGGGUUCCAGAUUCUUUUAAUUUCUUUCUCUUCAAAUCAAACAUAGAAAAAUCCCAAAUUGUUUUUUUUUUUUCAAUUUACUGAGGCUUCGUCGGAUCUGCAAAUUCAUUUCAAUCAAUUUCUGCAGCUUCGUCAUCGUCCUCCCUGCAGCGUCGUCAUCAUCCUCCGUUCAGCGUCGUCGUCAUCGUCGGCAGCCGGGCUAUGGUGACGGUGUCGGAGAAGGUGCAACCAUAGUUGGGUUCGGAUGGGUUUGCUGGGAUUGGGUUAGCAGUUGGGUUGCUGGGUUUGUAGUGGAGGAAGAUGAGGCUACAUGAGAGACGAGGGUAGAAGAGAGGAGGUUACGGGAGAGAAAGGGAGGUAGACAAUGUAAUUAAUGAAAAAGAAGAGGGGUAUUGUUGUCCAAAAAAAUAUAAUUUUGUGUUCCACGGGGUGGAACGAGUCGUUCCAGGGGAAGGUGGAACGAAAAAGUGACCAAAAUCCGUUCCAUGGGACAGCGCACUACACGAUUUUUGGAUGCACCAAACGUGGGACGGAACGCCUCAUCCCACUGCGUUCCGUCCCGUCCCACGUACCAAACGAUACCACAUGGACACAAUUUUGAAUUCACCUUGAGCAUUUUUCAUUUCCAUAUAUCUAUUUGGAUUACGAAAUGACAUAAUUUUCUAUAAUACAUGAUGAAAAGGUUAUAUCUGAUUGGUCUCGUUUGAUUGUUAUUGGAGUUGGUGAAACAAGUGCCAUUAACCAACAAAAAUAGUAACCCUAUUGAGUAAGCGACUGGUUGAGGUACAAAAUCCUAUCAUGACGGCCAUGACAUCCAACUGAUAGUCAUAACGACUUGAUUGCAAGAGCGGAGCUCAACCACAAAAGUUGGUUUUUCUGUGAAAUCCCAUCCCCAAAUUAUUGUGAAUUUUACUUUCCCCCUAAAGGUUUACUCAUUUUUACAAUUUAGUCCACUUAUCUUUAACAAAUCCGGACCAUCCCUUUUAGAUUCUCCUUCUCUCUCCGUUUGCCACGUGGCACCACCCUAACUCAUCCACUAUCUCUCUCUUUCUCUUUCCCGAGCUCUCUCUCUCACUCUCUCACUCUCGGAUCUCACUCUCCCUCUCACUCCCUUUCCCGAUCGACACCCACACACCCAACCAAACACCCUGACAACGGCGCGACACCACCACCACCCUCAUAGACGUCCAUUUCCUCUCCACCGUCUUCUUGAAGCUCCGGGGUACCCAGGGAACACCAAACCCAGGUACGGUGAACCGUGGCUGUGUGAGCCCAAAUUCGGCCAUCUCUGGCCGUUUCACGGCAAACCUCAGGUACCAACUUCUCCCUCUCACCUCUACCUUCAAUUUCGUAGGUAGAUUGUAAGUUAUGGUGACCAAACGACGACGACCAGAGCUCAAGAAGCUCCGGCCUUCUUCUUCGACGAGAAACGGUUUGAAUGACAGUGAACCCAAGCCCUUUGGGCCGUUUACGAGUUGGACCUUAGGCCCGUUAGCCGUUAAGCCCAAACCCAAAAUCCUUUUACCUAUUUAUUUUCCUUUUAUUUUUAUUUAAACCCAAAACCCUUUUGUUGGGCCAAGCCUUCAGCCCAAGAACAAAGAGCUUCGACCCGUAAGCUCUUAAGCCCAAAACCCAAAACCCUUUGCUUUGGGCCGGGCUUUCAAGCCGAGGCCCCUUGAACCAAAACCUAUCAUAUUAGGCCUUUGGGCCUUGGAACCCAAGCCCACUCAUUUAGGCCUAACCCAGUCCAACCCUAAGCCCAAAUUGGUUGACCCGGUUUGACCCGACCCUGUUGACUCGUUGACUUUGACUUUGACCGGUCAAAGGUCAACGUUGACUUUUCGACGUUUUUCGGGUUUUCGUCUGGGACCCUUUUCGACGUCCUAGACCCGAUUUUGAAGUCCGUUUUCCCAAAUUUAAUUUUUUAAAUAUAGUUUUAUUAAUUGGACCCUUUAUGUGCUUAAGGGCAAUCUUUGUGACGUUUCCGUCUUCACUAGUUGCGUGGCUCUUCAGCAACUAAGUAUCUGUGAGUGGACACUUUCUAAAAUGCAUGUUUUAAUAGUAGAAAUGCAUACAUGAAAAGCAUGAUUUUAUGAGCACGUUUUAGAUAACAUUUUAUGAGUAAAUGGGAUUUACCUUAUAUGAUUAUCAUGACUACUUAGAAUAUUUUGGAAAACCAUAUUUUCUAUCGAACCCAUGUUCUUUGUAGGAUAUAUAAUGAAUGACGAUAUACUAUUUAGAACAUGUUUUUACACACUUCUUUAUAAUAUAGAUGAUGGAUGAUUUUAUACCAUGAAACUGUUUUUGAGAUAUAUGUACCUAUGUUUGGAAAGAUUAUAUUCAAUGGUUUUGUGCGUAGCUAGUGGACACAUAUUGGCUUCGGGUGGGUGUUGUAGGAGCCUUUGACACGCCCCGAUCCCGAUAUUCCUCGAAUACCAAGAUAGGCACGUGCUGGCCAACACCCAAGGGUGACAAAAGCCAUUUAUUGAGUGCAAUUGCUGAAAACAAGGGAUAGAUAAGACUUAUAAAUAUAAAAGAAUAAGAAAUAUGCAUUUAAGGAACGUGUUCAAAGCACACAACUAAUCUAGAACACUAAAAGAAUUAAUAUAAAAUUGAAUGAACAAAGGAAUGGGUUUUACACCGAGAGGACUCAAAGAUGCCGAUGCGGAAGUGUCUUGACGCCGGGAUUGUAUGCCUCGAUUCUAAGUCCUGAAGGGGGCACAAAUCAUAACUUGUAUAUAUCAUGGUAAAAUAGGUUUUCCGAAACCUAGCAUGUCGUGCAAUGUCUCAAAUCAUAACUUGUAUAUAUAAUAUUCACUAGUGAAUUGUCUGAUAACCCCUAGACCCCAUGCUGGCUCCUCGUCUUUGAGUAGACAUUAAGAGGAAAAUACACUUCAGGCCUCAUGCCGGCCCCCCGUCCCUAUGCUAAAUAGCCAGAGGAAACACACUCCAAGCCUUAUGCCAACACCAAACCGUCACCUGGGACUAACCGAAAUCUAUUCCUACGUCCCGUGGCGGAAAGGACCACUAGGUAAGUACAAAUCCAUUGAACAUAAAAAUAUUGAAAAGCAACUUCAUAGUAUAAAUUCAUCCAUCAUCUAUACUAUAAAGAGGUGUUCGAAACAUGUUAUAAAUAUCAUAUCGUCAUCCAUCAGAUAUUCUAUAAGAACACGGGUUAUAGGAAAAAUAGUAGUAAUUCAAUAUAGUCUCAGUAAGCAUGUUAUCUCGCAAAACGUUUCAUAAAACAUAAUCAUUAAAUCAUGUUUUUCAUGUAUGCAUUUAUACUAUCAAAACAUGCAUUUUUAGAAGGGGCCCACUCACAUAUACUUAGCCGCUGAAGAGCCAAGCAAACUAGCGAACAUGGAAACGUCAUCAAUAAUUGCCCCUAAGCACAUAAAUGGUACAUUUAGUUAAAUUUUACUUAAACGAUUGAAUUUGGAAAAACGGAUUUCAAAAACGGGUCCAAGACGUCGAAAUUAGCCUAGGAGAGGUCCCGUACGAAAACUUGAAAAGUCAACGAUCAAAGUCAACGUUGACUGUUAAUCGGUCAAAGUCAAAGUCACCAGGUCAUGGGUCUGGGCUUGGAUCUGGGUUGGGCUUAGGUUUUAGGGUUAGGUCUAGUGGAUUUGGGCUUAGUCCUAAGGCCCGCAUGCCUGGCUUACUAAGGUUUAAGGUUUUAGGCAAAUGGGCCGAAGGCCCUGGUUCUCAUAUGGCCCGAAGGCCUGCCUGAAAGGGCUUGAAGCCCUGGGUUACUCACACGAGCCUGGGUUCACAACGUUUCACAAUUGGGCUGGGCUUUUAAGCCUAGCUUGAUUGUAUUUGGGUUUUAAGUAAAUAAAACAAUAUAUCUUAAAAAGGGUUUUGGGUUGGGUUUUCAAACAGGCUUAAGGCUCGAGUUCUAAACAACCUAAACGGCCUGGUUUGCUUAAUCUCGCCGGGGAAGGAGGCCGGAGCCUCUCGAGCUCCGGUCGACAGUAACUAGUAACCUAGGGAUGCGAUCUAGGUAUGAAAACAAAGUACAAGAUGAAAGGAAGAGGUUUAUACCCACGAUUCACCGUGAAGAAGAUUAAGGUGACCAAAAACUGGGCUUGCACACCCACGGCUCGCCUAAAAAUGGGUUUAACACAUCCGAACUGAUUUCAAGUCCAACCUUCACCACAACAGGUAUACAAACUCAGAAAUUCGUACUAACAUCCAACUUAAGAUAGGGUAAUAUGAUUAUGAGGCCCACCUACUCGGAAAUGGUGGAGUUCGCCGGAGUUUUCCAUUGCACCCUUUCGGUGCUUGUCAUGGCAAAGGGAAGAGAGAGAGAGAGAGUGAGAGAAACUUCAACGUGUUGAUGAUCUUAAUGAGGGAGUCUCGAGGGUGAUGGGUUCAUCAGGGCUAUAAAGGGUCGAUGGUCUGCGUGCAUGCGUGUUCGACGAGAAAAAGAGAGAACAAAGAUAGAGACUAGGGGGAAAAAGAGGAAAAUGAAGAGAGAGAAAGAGAGAGAGAGAGGGAGGGAAAGAGUGAGACCAAGAGAGAGAUGAAAGGCUUGGACCCAGGGGAUAACAAACAAAGGUAGGCCCCUUGGCACACCUAUUAAGACCCAAAAACAAUUUUUUAAAAGGAAAAAUAUCCCCAAACUUAGUGAAAAUACAAAAUUACCUUUUUUGUUCCGUAAAUCCCGGGAAGGGUUGUUACAGCCUUCGAGUGAUUGAUACUAUAUAUGCCUUCGGGUGGGUAUUGUAGGAGCCUGCGGGUGAUUGACACUUGUGAAGGAAGUUUCUGAAGGAAGAGUUCUAUAUGCCUUCGGACAACAUUGAUACUACUAGUUAGCACACUAUAUACGAGAUAUGUUUCAUGAGAAGUUUUAUGGCAUGCUAAGGUUUUCGGAAAACCUGUUACUUAUUAUGCUAUUAGUUUCCAUAAAACUUUGGGGGUUAGUAUGUUGAUAACUGUUUUAUUUUAUAUAUAUAUAUAUAUAUAUUAUAUAUAUAUAUAUAUCAACUUGGUCCACUCAUGUUUGUUUUACGCCCCUUAGGACUUAGAUUCGAAACGUACCCGGCGUCAAGACACUUCCGCAUUGGUAUCUUCAAGUCCUUUCGGUGUAGGACUCAUCCUCUUAUUCAUUCAAUUUUAUAUUAUUCUUUUUAGUAUUCUAGAUUAAUUAGUACAUCAAUUUAGACAAUUGUUGGAAGUUUUUUAUUUUUAUUUUUUUAUCUACACUAAAGGAGUGUGGGAAUAGACCUUGUGAAAUUAAUUCCUACUUUUUUCAGAUCGCAUUGGGUGGGCCAAUUUUUUGCUUACAUGGGCACAAUUUUGAAUUCACCUUGAGCAUUUUUCAUUUCCAUAUAUCUAUUUGGAUUAUGAAAUGACAUAAUUAAUACAUGAUGAAAAGGUUAUAGCUGAAUCAUUUGGUGUCGCGUUUGAUUGCUAUUGGAGUUGGCGAAACUAAGUGCCAUUAACCAACAAAAAUAGUAACCCUAUUGAGUGCGCGACUGGUUUAGGUACAAAAUCCUAUCAUGACGGACAUGAGAUCCAACUGACUCGACCACAAACGUUGGUUUUUCCUUCGUCAAUUUAUUAAAUCUUGGACUUUUGACAUCCAAGUCUAGCUUGCAUACUCUGCCAAUUCCUUCUACCAUGAGGUUGAUCGGCCGCUGCUACUCCGCAAGAAAGAGUUGGUUAGACAAAGUGUGGUUGUUAAACAAAUGUCCGUUUUUAGCAGGGUGCAGAUUAAGCCAAAAACACAAUUUUUUUCGGAGUUACCAAACGAGGGGUAGGAGCGUAAACGAAAAUACCCAUCAGCACAAUCACCUUGCUUCCCACUCAAACUCGAGCAAUGUAACGAAACAAGCUAGCUGAAUUUUGCACGACUUGUUCACUUCUUUGCGUGUUCAUACAAAUUUUUGAGCCACGAAUGGGUUUAUUCACAAAAGCAAAUAUUUCUAAAACUUAAAGUACUUCUUCAGCACAUCUUGUAGGACGGCCCAGAUUCCAACAGAGCCACAAUUUUGUAAUGUCAAGGUAGCCUGCCUCACGAUCAAGUUUUCAGAUUUUAAAGAGCUGUCUGCAAACCUCUGCUUAUGAGGUUCCAUUUCAUCCACGGCAGUUUCUAGAUUCGCCAUUGCCUCAGUUCGUUCCGUCUUUACUUGCGCCAGUUGGGCAUUGACUCGCGCCAGUUCAGCCUCAAGUUCUGUAACCUUGGCAUCAUAAUUGGCCACAAUGUCUUUUCUCUCUUGGCAUGUCUGCAUGGCCAGUCCCAUUUUAACUUUUAUAUCUUCGUGUUCGACUGCAAAAUUUUCAGCUUGGGCAAGCUCUUUUACUGCAGCCACAUACUUCGGCAUUUCACCCUCCAAAGACGAAAGAAGAUCCUUGAGCAUGGAAGUGAUCGUUGAAUGGAUCAUCCCUUGUUCAGUCAAGAGUUUCACGGCUGCUUUGAACUCCUCAUAUGCCCCAUUCGUGCUGAGAGUGUCUAGGCUGCUCCUUGCAUAGCGGCUCACAGUGUCUAAUGCAGCCAAAGUCUCUACUGAUGGUUCUCUGGCUGAAGUGGACUUCAAUAGAUCCUCUGCAGCAGAAAGUCUUCUCAGAGUUCGAUCAACUGCUGGAGAAGCAGGGCCAUCCAGGUCACCAUUUUGCAUUUCUCUGCUAGCUGUAACAUUGCCGACAUUAGACGCCAUGGACUCUAAG
rnacentral:lncRNA from 1 species